CUAUGGAGUAGGAAAAUGCACAGCAAUUGAAUUUGACAAUAACCAGUUUAAAAGCUCCAAAAGAGAGGAAAUGUGUAGCGAACUAUUUGGUAUUGAAUCGACUCUGGCUUUCAAUUUCAUUACCUUGGAUUCGAGACCUUACCGCAAGGCAUGUGAUAUUGCACUUGCAAAAGUGGCUGAAAAGGAAAAGGAGGCCACUGCGUGCACGUUUGCUUUAGCUUAUGGUUCGGCAGUUAAGCAGAUUAAUAAGUGGGUGCUAUUACCACCGCGUUGCAUUAAGUGCGCAGGACCUGCUGGACAACACGACUUUGGAGAUGAGUUUACUGUUAAGUUACCAAACAACAAGGUUGACGUUGUAUUUGUCGUUGAUAUCAAUGUAACACCCGGAGUGCUGUCUAAUUUAAUAGCGCCGGCCAUCAAUGAUAUUCGUGAAUCAUUAAGAAGCCGGGGAUUUUCAGAUGUACAAGUCGGAGUGAUUGUUUUCGAGGAAACCAAACGAUAUCCCGCUCUACUCACAAGUGAUGGUGGCAAAAUUAACUACAAGGGAAACGUUGCUGAUGUUAAGCUGGCUGGAAUAAAGAGCUUCUGUGACAAUUGUGUGGAGCAAAUUAUAACUGAAAAACGAAUUUUAGAUAUUUACAAUUCUUUAAAAGAAAUAGUAAAGGGCAUUGCACCCCAAGCAGAUGAAAAGGCGUUCCAAUUGGCUUUAGAUUAUCCCUUCCGCGCUGGGGCGGCAAAAAGCAUUAUCGGUGUGCGAAGUGAUUCUUUAGAAUAUAAGAAUUGGUGGAAAUUUGUUCGAGCUCAGUUAACUGGAUCCAUCACUAAGUUUGAUGGUGCACUUAUUCAUCUUAUUGCACCAGUAAAGGGGCUCUCAUUAGAAGGAGUGUUAAGCGAAAAACUAAUUGGCUUCAAUUCUCGAUUGGUGGCUACUGUAGAUGGGAAAGACAGCAAAAAACGGACUAAGCUGCAAUUCGAUAACGACAUGGGCAUUGACUUUGUCCUUAAUAACGGUGGCUGGGUGUUUGCCACACAAAACUUUGAAAAAUUAAAAGCUUCGGACCAAAAGAAAAUGUUGAAUCAGAUUACAUCAUCGCUGGCAGAUACUCUCUUUAAGACGGAAAUCGUCAGUGACUGUCGCUGUCUUCCGAUUCAUGGAUUGCACGGCCAACAUAAGUGCGUCAUUAAGUCAUCAACAUUUGUUGCGAACAAAAAGGCAAAAUCUGCCU
ensembl:lncRNA